AAAAUAUGCAUUUUCCCAUGAAAAUUUAAUCAAUCUUGUUAGUUAUAACUUAAAAACACUAUUGCUAUAUCACUGUUUGAGGGAAUUACGCUCCACUCAACUCUAUUUAUGCAAUUCGAAAUAAUAGAUGAAAGACUAAUUAAUAAACUAUUUUGCGUCAUUGCUAGUUAUUUUGUACUCCCAAACAUUUAUUAAAUGUAUUUAGCAAUUUAAUAAU
rnacentral:misc_RNA from 1 species